rnacentral:rRNA from 1 species
GACGAACGCUGGCGGCGUGCUUAACACAUGCAAGUCGAACGGUCCUGUUUUUGAAGCGCUUCGGCGUGGAGGGAGCGGGUUAGUGGCGCACGGGUGAGUAAUGCGCGAGGACCUGCCCGCGGGAGGGGGACAGCAGUUGGAAACGGCUGGUAGAUACCCCGUAAGCCGGGAGGUAAAAGGGCGGAGACGCCCGCCUGCGGAUGGACUCGCGUCCUAUCAGCUAGUUGGUGAGGCAACGGCUCACCAAGGCGACGACGGGUAGCCGGCCUGAGAGGGUGUCCGGCCACACUGGAACUGAGACACGGUCCAGACUCCUACGGGAGGCCAGCAGUGGGGAAUUUUGGGCAAUGGGGAGACCCUGACCCAGCGACGCCGCGUGAGGGACGAAGGCCCUUGGGUCGUAAACCGUCUUUUGCUAGGGGAAGAAGAAGAUGACGGUACCUUGCGAACAAGUACCCGGCUAACUACGUGCCAGCAGCCGCGGUAAACGUAGCGUG